rnacentral:rRNA from 1 species
AUACGUAGGUGACAAGCGUUAUCCGGAUUUACUGGGCGUAAAGGGCGUGUAGGCGGUCUUGCAAGUCAGAAGUGAAAUUCCUGAGCUCAACUCGGGCGCUGCUUCUGAAACUGCAGGACUUGAGUGCUGGAGGGGAUAGCGGAAUUCCUAGUGGAGCGGUAAAAUGCGCAGAUAUUAGGAAGAACACCGGUGGCGAAGGCGGCUAUCUGGACAGUAACUGACGCUGAGGCGCGAAAGCGUGGGGAGAAAACAGGAUUAGAUACCCUUGUAGUCCACGCCGUAAACGAUGAAUACUAGGUGUAGGGGGUAUCGACUCCCUCUGUGCCGCAGUUAACACAAUAAGUAUUCCGCCUGGGGAGUACGGCCGCAAGGUUGAAACUCAAAGGAAUUGACGGGG